GUUCGUGGUUGCUUUAUCGGUGGGAGAAAAAAAGGCGUAAGACUGAAAUCAGAAAAAAUAGAAUCUUCAGUGUUGAAUUCAAUUAUUCCCCCGAAACCAGAAAAAGAAAAGCAGAGCUAUUGUUGAUUAUGCUCAGAGCAAAAUUGGAGUUGAUGAUGAUCAGCGUAGUGUUGUGAACUUGGAGUUUAAGAAUGAAAGACUACUGAGACAAAUUCAUCAAAGGAAUUACUGCUUCAUCAAACCAAAUUGUCACCAAAUCUGUUUGCCUUAAAAUUGAUAAAAACAGCUACCCAAUAUUUCUUGAUCUGAUCUACAUAGUCUCGGACCAUAAAAUUGUGAACUGCCACCUACCUUUGGUUUGUGACUUUUAUUCAAUAUUUGUUGAAAGAAUGGGGAAAGCAUCUGUCCAGGUAUUGUCUGUAGAGGUAAAUACCUAUUGUCAUUUUAUAUUUUGUUCUAAUUAAUGAUGUGGAAGAUGAUUGGGAUACUGUUUACAUUUUAUAUACGAAAUAAUGGCUGAAACAUUCCCUAUGCAUCUUAUGCUAUAAAGCAUGGAGUACUUCUAAAAUGGUGAAGUACCCAUACUGGGUGCUUACCCGGUACUGGGACUCGUACCAUAUUUGUGGGUAUUCUGUUUUUAUUUAUUUUAUUUCAAGUGAAAUUCAUGAUUUUGUUAUAUAUUAAUAUAAUAUUAUUUGUUUAUUUGAGUUUAUUUGUUAUUGUAAUCGAACACAAUUUGUGAUUUGUUAGACAUUUAUUUUGAUUUUGUAUUGUGAAUUGAACAAUUUAACUUUCUAAGUUAAAUUAUAUAAAAAAAUUAAUGUUUUUCGUUGAUGUAUCCAUACCUUAAUUUAAAUAAAAAAAAAUAUCAUAUCACGUACUCGUACCAGUACCUGAUACUAGUACCGUACCUAUGCGUCAUAGAUCUUAUGCUGAUACAAUUUUCAUGCCACUGUAUUGAUUUUACCAUAUAUUUCCUCUGAUUAUGAUAUCAUUGUGCAAACAUAUCGGUCUGUGAACAUGAGUUUGAAGUAGAGGUUGUGUCGUUGGGUUGGGCUCUAUGCUCACUAAGCUUGAUUCUGAUUUGCAACGGAAAAUUAGGUGCACAGGCUUGAAGUGUGGUAAUGAGUAACGGUACCUGGUCGCAUAUGCAAGAGUGAAGUGAUCAUUAUAUUUUUUUUAGCUUUCUUACUUUUAUGGUCGCAUGUGCAAAAGUGAAGUGGUCAUUAUAUUUUUUUUGUUUGCUUACUUUCAUUUCUACGGAUCAAGGGAAAAUUAUAUGCUUUGAUUGCUCAUUGCUCAUUCAUAUUAGGACUAAAAACUAAAAUCUUUAGAUUCUCACCCUUUUUCAAUAUGUUUUCUGUUUUUUGUCAACCUAAUUCAGCAUGCCUUAAAUUAUUUAGUACUUGGGUUACACAUUAUAUUAAAGAUUUUGUCUAUAGGUUUGAAGUGGGACACAUAAGAUUUUGCCUAUAGGAGCGAAACUAUUUACUACUUAGGUUUGCACUCUGCAGAUGUGUCAGUAUAAUACUAUAAUAAGGAUAUGAGUUCUAAUCUUAAAUUGGCCAUACUCGCUAACUCUUGAUUUGCCAAAUCAAAUUGGCUAAUUAGUUUUUAAACGUUUUAAAACAAAUGUUAUAUGAGGUAGUUAUGAAUGAAAGAAAUAGUUGUGAGAUAAACCUGAGAUACUUUUUAAUUUUUAUGAGGUAGCUUGUUUGUGAGUAAUUAAAUCUGUUUGUAAAUGUUGUCCUAAGAGAAGGGUUAUGGACCCAAAAUUGUUGAUCUUAUGCAAAUACUAUGGAAUCAAUCUGUGUAUGAGUUAUAUUGUUGCUAAUAAUAUGUUUUCAUGUUGCUAAUAAUAUUUUAAAAAAAUAAGAACAAAACAUUUUCCUGUUGUAUGUGGGUGUUGAACUUAAUUGCAAUUAUUUGGAGUUAUUAUAGUGUUUUUUCCGGAUAAAGGUAACUUGUUGAACACAAUUCAAUGGAAUUCAACGUUACUGGAUAUAGAAGUUGGGUUCAUUUCCAUUACUUCCCCCUUGACUAAAUAAUGUGCUUAGGUAACUAAGACAUCUUCCUCGUCACAUAAAUUCGCAAAAGUGACGCAUCUAAUAUAUAUAUAUAUAUAUAUAUUAUCAAUAACUUAAACAAAAAAACUCAAACAUUCACAACAAAAAAAUAUUCACUUUUUCACUCAAAAUCAAUUCACGCAACAAUACGUAUUGGUUUCUUUCCCAUUUCCAUCCCAAUUUUUUUUUCUCGACAGUAUUUCUUCUCAAAAUUUUUUCUUCCUAUUUCGUCUCAAAAAUUAUUAAAGCUUUUCCAAAUUUGGAUUUUCGUUUUCCCGAUUUAUUCAUCAUUCUUUAACCUUGAAGAAGCUUUUCCCAUUUAGUUAAAUACUUUUCGAUUCCCUCUUCAAUCGAUUCCUUCCAUUUCCUCUUGAAUACCUAUUCAUCUUCGAUCGUUUUCCUUCGAUCAAAUUUCUCUUACGAUUCAUGACUCAGCGAUUCACUGAGUAAGUGAAAAUUGUUUUUCCUAUAUUAGCAAGUUGCAUUGGUUGAAAAAUUUGAUUGAUUUUAGUUUUUAAAAUUUUAAAACAGAUUUGAUAGAGAAAAAAAACAUAUAUGGAGUUUCUCAUCUUCAAGUUUAGGUUAAUUUCCAACUUAGUUCAUAUCUAAUAUUGUUAUUUUUAUUCAUACUUAUACAAUUCAUGUCAGCUUUCUGGUUGAAUUAAUAUUUAAUGCCUGUCGGGAUCAUCGAUCCGAUAAGUCAAAUCAUAUAUCAUCGAUUUGAAUUUUUCUGUUUUGAGAUUUUGAAUUGCAGCGAUUGUGUUCCUAUGACCACAAUUGUUUUGUUUGGGUUAUGAAGUUUUUUUAAUGGUAUUUUGGUUGUUUGAUUAGCUAUAAUAUGCACGUCAUUUGUUUAUGCUUGUGUAUUUGGGGUUUGAAUUUGAUGUGAGUAGUGCUUAGUUCUUGGAUUAUGUUAUUUUACUUUUUAUUAUUAUGUUGUUCUUAGCCGGGAUCAUGAGUUUUAAUUUAUCUGCAUGUGAAUUUGCUGCUAUCUCUAGUAGGCUGUCUAAUAAAUUAAACUUGGCUUGGAGUGUUAGGAUCAAUAGAAAUGGUUUGUUGUUAGUUUGAAACUCUGUGUACAUGAGACCGAGGAAACGUAGAGGAGGAACUUGGAUGAACUUAAAGUUGUGGAACAUUCGAAUUACAAUUACAAUAAAAUGUAAAAGAGAAUGCAAGAUGAGAUUGAUGGUUUGUUGCAGAGAAUGGAGGCAACAAAGCAGCAAUGGGUUUAACUUUUUAAUUUUAUUAUUAUUUUGUUUUCUGAUUCAGGAUACUGCUAGAAACAUGUUUAAUUUAUUGAACUUCUGCUUGGUUUCCAGAAUAAAUGAUUUUCAAUUUAUAAAUUCAUGAUAUUUGUUUAUUUAUGGAACCACAAAAGGUCAAGUUAAUAUUCACAUGCUCAAGUUUCUUCCUAUACUCCUUCAAAUUUCUAGUAAAGUUAUAUUGGGUUUUUAUUUUAUUUUUAAUGCUAAUGACAAAUGACCAGAGUUAAUUAUAAUUAUUAAGUAUGAUUACCCUAUAAUUUUGUAUAUUUUCCUAUUUGAGUAUUUAUGUAUCCUGUUAAAAUUAAUGUUUGGUUUGUGUACUGUUUUUUAGUCUUCACAAUAAUGGAUAUCCCCCAAUCCGCUAUAUCGGUUUUGGGUCAGGCGCUCCGCGCCAUUAUCCAAGAUUUACAACAUAGUUUCCAUGAUACUUCUAACAAAAUGAUAAAUGCCAAACUAGAAAUAGCGUACCUAUAGUAUUGUUUAAUUGCUGCCAUGGACAUGUUCUGUAGUCGCUCUUCUGACCAACCCUUUUCUGAGGAGGUAUUCUGGAAUCCUACUGUCCCUUGUGCAUGGGCAAGAGGUGGAUUUACAGCAAGUCUAUCAAUAAUCCUAUCUACAUUUCUCAAGUUCUCGUUACCGUAAUUCAUAUUAUGCUCUCCAACAGGUGUAACUCAUUAGCUAUGAUGAAUUGAAUUCUCUCCAUCUCUUCUGUUAAUCAAUGCUCUUUUUAUUAUCAUAUUUAGGGUUUUUAUUUUUAUUUUUAUAAUAAUAUUAUGUGAAAGCUGCUGUGAAAUCUUAUGAUAGAUAUAAGACUGUUUGUUUGUCUUUGGAUUCUGUUUGGUUGCAGAUGAAAAAGUGUUCAAAUUCUGAUAAAUCAUUUAUCUGCUUUUAAAGAUUUAGCAGACAGUGUUAUGUUGCUUGAACUGAUAGUAGACGCAUAGUGGAGUGAAAAAGUUGAAGCUAGUCAUGAGAGUGAUUCUGAAGAAGGAACCACUCACAAUCACAUUUAUGGCAUUAUUAUUCAUUUUAUAUAUAUUUAUAUGCUUUACAAAUGGAGAAGGCCACUAUCUUUUUGAAUUAUUAUUUCUGUGUUACAGACUUAGAAAGCUUUUGUGCUUUACUAAUAUUAAUAUUAAUUGUGAUGUUGAUUUGCAUAUUCUGUUGUUUUUUUCGGCUCAAAGAACAAAGGGAAGAGAAAGAGAUCUGGUAAAUGUGGAAAUCGCUUAUGGAAAUCCAUUGGUCUUGGAUUCAAGACUUCCAGAGAACCACUAAAGGAAUUUUCUUUGGAGACUAGUCAGGAUAUUCUCCAACCAUCGGCAACUUGAGGAAAAAAGGUCUGAUGAUUGAUGUUACCUUCCCUGUAUGUAAUUCCAAUCCUGAGUCGGAUGACCACUUGUUUAUGCACUGCACUGCUGCAAAGCUAGUCUGGUUGUGGUUGCUUUAUCGGUGGGAGAAAAAGAGGCGUAAGACUGAAAUCGAGAAAAAGAGGCGUACGAAACCAGAAAAAGAAAAGCAGAGGUACUUAAUUACGAGAUGAAUUCUUGACCCAAAAUGUAGUUUGCAAUAUGAAUUUUUUAUUCAUAUGAAAUUGCCAUAAUAUUUUUUGGAUGACCGUAAAAGUGGCCUUCAAUAUGAAAAGAGAUUGAGAAUUUGAGAUAGUAUGAUUGGAUUAUUUGGAAUUUAAUCACGAGAUAAUUCUUGACCCAAAAUGUGGCUUGCAAUAUGAAUUUUUUAUUCAUAUGAAAUGAAAUUGAGAUAGUAUGAUUGG